UUGAAAACUACAUAACUAGAAUGCAAGAGAGGUAAAUGGAAUUCCAUGUGUAGCGGUAAAAUGCGUAGAUAUAUGGAAGAACACCUGUGGCGAAAGCGGUUUACCAGCUUGUUAUUGACGCUGAGGCACGAAAGCGUGGGGAGCAAAUAGGAUUAGAUACCCUAGUAGUCCACGCCGUAAACGUUGAGUACUAGGUGUCGGGAAUUAUCUCGGCGCCGCAGCUAACGCAUUAAGUACUCCGCCUGAGUAGUAUGCACGCAAGUGUGAAACUCAAAGGAAUUGACGGGGACCCGCACAAGUGGUGGAGCAUGUGGUUUAAUUCGAAGCAACACGAAGAACCUUACCAGGGCUUGACAUCCAGUGCAAAGGCAUAGAGAUAUGCUGGAGGCUAACAUUGAGACAGGUGGUGCAUGGUUGUCGUCAGUUCGUGCCGUGAGGUGUUUGGUUAAGUCCAGCAACGAACGCAACCCUUGUCAUUAGUUACUAACAUUAAGUUGAGGACUCUAAUGAGACUGCUAGUGUAAGCUAGAGGAAGGUGGGGAUGACGUCAAAUCAUCAUGCCCCUUAUGUCCUGGGCUACACACGUGCUACAAUGGCUGAUACAAAGAGUCGCAAUCUCGUAAGGAGGAGCUAAUCUCAUAAAGUCAGUCUCAGUUCGGAUUGAGGGCUGCAACUCGCCCUCAUGAAGCCGGAAUCACUAGUAAUCGCGAAUCAGACAUGUCGCGGUGAAUACGUUCUCGGGUCUUGUACACACCGCCCGUCACACCACGAGAGUUGGUAACACCAGAAGUAGGNAGCCUAACCGUAAGGAGGGCGCCUCCCAAGGUGGGAUCAGCGAUUGGGGUG
rnacentral:rRNA from 1 species